GAUCGCUUAGCUCAGUUGGUUAGAGCGUGGUGCUAAUAACGCCAAGGUCGCGAGUUCGACCCUCGUAGUGAUCA
rfam:Rhynchosporium commune strain TK7 genome assembly, contig: RCO7_scaffold023